AGAGAAAUCUUCAUACUUGCUUCCUUCUCAAUUUAUAGGGCUUAGGCCCAGGGUUCCUAGUUGUGUUGAGAGUCCCGGUUUGGAUCUGUCUUAGUUACCUUCGAGCUCAAUAGCCGAAAUAGACAGAACUCAACCCACUAUUGAGGACUAGGCAGAUCAUAGGAAAAGAUUUUAUGGGAUUGGAAAUGGAAUUACAGGGCAUAGGCAGUUAUUCGAACUUCCUAGCCCUUCUUCCCAUGGUAAUUAAACUGUCAAGAUUAUAGCAGCUCUCUUCUAUGUUAUUUAUACUGAGUUACGGAUCUAAGUAACGCCAGCCUUAGCCACUCUUAAGUGGCUUUCAUACUUAGUUGCUGUUCUCUUAGGCUUAACUCCCGUUUAUCUGUAUAAGUUGUAUAAGUAAGGGAUUAACCAGGUGUUGGAUGAGAAGCAGCCUAGGUGAGAUCCAUUUGAUCUGUUAGCUGCUAAUGGAUUCUAUCGUCAUUUCGACAGUGAAAUAAAUCUU
rnacentral:lncRNA from 1 species